UGGUGCAUGGUUGUCGUCAGCUCGUGUCGUGAGAUGUUGGUUAAGUCCGCAACGAGCGCAACCCUCGACCUUAGUUGCCAGCAUUCAGUUGGGCACUCUAAGGUGACUGCCGGCUAAAAGUCGGAGGAAGGUGGGGAUGACGUCAAAUCAUCAUGCCCCUUAUGACCUGGGCUACACACGUGCUACAAUGGGCGGUACAAAGGGUCGCGAACCCGCGAGGGGGAGCCAAUCCCAAAAAGCCGCUCUCAGUUCGGAUUGCAGGCUGCAACUCGCCUGCAUGAAGCCGGAAUCGCUAGUAAUCGCGGAUCAGCAUGCCCGCGGUCGAAUACGUUCCCGGGCCUU
rnacentral:rRNA from 1 species